CCUACGGGAGGCAGCAGUGGGGAAUUUUGGACAAUGGGCGAAAGCCUGAUCCAGCAAUGCCGCGUGUGGGAAGAAGGCCUUCGGGUUGUAAACCACUUUUGUACGGAACGAAACGGUUCGCUUUAAUACAGUGGGCUAAUGACGGUACCGUAAGAAUAAGCACCGGCUAACUACGUGCCAGCAGCCGCGGUAAUACGUAGGGUGCGAGCGUUAAUCGGAAUUACUGGGCGUAAAGCGUGCGCAGGCGGUUAUAUAAGACAGUUGUGAAAUCCCCGGGCUCAACCUGGGAAUUGCAUCUGUGACUGUAUAGCUAGAGUACGGUANAGGGGGAUGGAAUUCCGCGUGUAGCAGUGAAAUGCGUAGAUAUGCGGAGGAACACCGAUGGNGAG
rnacentral:rRNA from 1 species